GGAAUAUUGGGCAAUGGGUGAGAGCCUGACCCAGCCAUGCCGCGUGCAGGAAGACGGCCCUCAGGGUUGUAAACUGCUUUUCUACGGGAAGAAAGAGGUUGUGCGCAACCAGUUGACGGUACCGUAGGAAUAAGCCCCGGCUAACUCCGUGCCAGCCGCCGCGGUAAUACGGAGGGUGCAAGCGUUGUCCGGAUUUAUUGGGUUUAAAGGGUACGUAGGCGGGCGUCUAAGUCAGUGGUGAAAGCCUACGGCUCAACUGUGGAACUGCCAUUGAUACUGGAUGCCUUCAGUAUAGUAGAGGUGGGCAGAAUUCAUGGUGUAGCGGUGAAAUGCAUAGAUACCAUGAGGAAUACCGAUAGGGAAGCCAGCUCACUGGACUAUUACUGACGCUAAGGUACGAAAGCGUGGGGAGCGAA
rnacentral:rRNA from 1 species